rnacentral:rRNA from 1 species
AACGAACGCUGGCGGCAUGCCUAACACAUGCAAGUCGAACGAGCUCUUCGGAGCUAGUGGCGCACGGGUGCGUAACGCGUGGGAACCUGCCCUUAGGUUCGGAAUAACUCCUCGAAAGGGGUGCUAAUACCGGAUAAUGUCUUCGGACCAAAGAUUUAUCGCCUUUGGAUGGGCCCGCGUUGGAUUAGCUAGUUGGUGAGGUAAAGGCUCACCAAGGCGACGAUCCAUAGCUGGUCUUAGAGGAUGGUCAGCCACACUGGGACUGAGACACGGCCCAGACUCCUACGGGAGGCAGCAGUGGGGAAUAUUGGACAAUGGGCGCAAGCCUGAUCCAGCAAUGCCGCGUGAGUGAUGAAGGCCUUAGGGUUGUAAAGCUCUUUUACCCGGGAUGAUAAUGACAGUACCGGGAGAAUAAGCCCCGGCUAACUCCGUGCCAGCCGCCGCCGUAACAC